rnacentral:rRNA from 1 species
AUGGAACGCUGGCGGCAGGCCUAACACAUGCAACUCGCGCGGAGCGGCGGACGGUUGAUUAAUGCCUAGGAAUCUGCCUGGUAGUAGGGGAUAACGUCCGGAAACGGGCGCUAAUACCGCAUACUAUCAGAUGAGCCUAGGUCGGAUUAGCUAGUUGGUGGGGUAAAUGCCUACCAAGGCGUCGAUCCUUAACUGGUCUGAGAGGAUGAUCAGUCACACUGGAACUGAGACACGGUCUAGACUCCUACGGGCGGCAGCAGUGGGGAGUAUUGGAUAAGGGGCUAAAGCCUGACCCAGCCAGUCCGCGUGGGUGAAGAAGGGCUUCGGAUGGUAAAGUCCUGUAAGUUGGGAGGCGUGAUCAACAGAAUAAGCACCGGCUAAGUUCGUGGCAGCAGCCGCGGUAAUAC